CUCCGUGCUCGCGCAUCGAACUGUCCGGCGUGCUCCCAAUCAGCGUUGUUUCGAGCGUCGCUUGGACGCAAUUCGGGUCCCUGUGCUGCAUACCUGCCUUGAAGGCACUCGUCCCCCUAGUUGGUUAGUUCCUAGUCGACGCUCCUCGGGGCGUCGGCAGGACCUAGAAGCUGUCCUCGUGUCCCACACGUGCCUUGCGGCCUUCGCGUUGCCGAUGUGGACCACGUGGGCAUGCUCGUGGCCUCGGAUGCAGAACAUCAUGUGGGUUUGGGGCCUUUGGCCCCUUUUGCCAACGUACCAAGCGAGCAUCAUCGCUUUGCCCCGCACGAUCGUCGUGCUCGUCCGCGCCCUUCCUUGCCUUCAGGUGAGCCAGGGCCUCCGGGCAG
rnacentral:misc_RNA from 1 species